rnacentral:snRNA from 1 species
GGAUGUGAGGGCGAUCUGGCUGCGACAUCUGUCACCCCAUUGAUCGCCAGGGUUGAUUCGGCUGAUCUGGCUGGCUAGGCGGGUGUCCCCUUCCUCCCUCACCGCUCCAUGUGCGUCCCUCCCGAAGCUGCGCGCUCGGUCGAAGAGGACGACUAUCCCCGAUAGAGGAGGACCGUUCUUCGGUCAAGGGUAUACGAGUAGCUGCGCUCCCCUGCUAGAACCUCCAAACAAGCUCUCAAAGAAAUGGUCUCUAAACUGAGGAGAACACCCACAGAGUGGGAGAAAACAUUUGCCAACUAUACAUCAGACAAAGGACUGAUAACCAGAAUAUAUAG